CUGUGCUAACUGGGCGAUGCCUUCCCGCUCAGGGGCGAAGGUGCUGACGUCUAUGUGCUAGGUGGGCCACAUCGUGCCUGGAGUCCAUCCCUGAACUGGGGCAGCUACUCACCAGCCUUUGGAGGAGCAAGACCAUCCUUCCUGCCUCUUGGCUUUUCUCUAGGUCCUUUUAUGUCAUUGCUAACUUCCUUGAUCUGUGUCUCUUCCCAGUAGGUCCUCUCCCUCAAGUCUGGGGCCACAGCCCAAGGCUCCAAGGAGCCCAUAAACUUAUACCUGAAUAGAUACAUGCUCCAGUGAACAAUGUGCCUCUAAAGGGGAGAGCGUCUCCAUCCCCUAUUUGAAUUUCCGGUGCAGAGUUGCAUUUAUCAUUUCUGAGUUCAUGCUGCCUUAUCAGCAUUUGUCUCUGCAGGGAUCCUCAUGUUUUAUUAAUUUUAGAAAUGGAUUCUCUCUGUUCCCACCCCACUCCCACGCCCCUCCUCCCACAGGCAAAGAAGCCAACAUGUGCAAUGAGAUUCUUUGUGUUUCUGUGUCUCUUGCAAAACAUGGAGUGUUUCUUGUGUUUCUUCUGAGAAUUUACAUAAAUACUAUUGGUUAUGUGCUUCAUCCUGCUUUCGUGUUUCCCCGCUCAGCACUGUGCUUUUGAGAAAUCCACCCACGUUGCCAUGUGUGUGUCUGGUCCUGUUUGGCCUCAUGGUGCCACAUGGGGCUGCUGUCACAGGUUACCCAUCCCCCUCCCUCUGGGUGGACAUGCACCUGAUGUUCCCUCUGGACUGGUUGGUGUGGGCAAGCCUUUCUCUGGGACUCGUACCCAGGAGUAGGUACCUAGGAC
rnacentral:lncRNA from 1 species